rnacentral:lncRNA from 1 species
UGAGCAGGGCCUAAACUGCAGCACUGUGUUUUCCAAACAGACUGUGAAACCAAGAAUGAGAGACAAGAGUGAGCUUCCUCCAGCCCCUUGUGUCAUCUGGGCAUGCUUGUGCCACGUGUCACUACAAACAGUUGGGACAUCUGGAACGGGUUCAUGAAAGUUCCUCUGUCUGGUUCAGUGCCUGGUCACAGCAAGUUUUCCUGGCACAAGUGAGUGGAAAGAGCACUUUGGCAUGGAGAGGAAAUGAGCAGCGGAGGGUGAAAGGUGAGCAGCAAUUACUGGUGCUGGGAAUGCCCCAGUGUACUUUAAUAUCAGCCCAUGGUCUGCAGCUGAACUCAACAUGUGAAAAAUGUUCAAAUACCUUUCAAAUUGUCAGGUUUAAUCUUUGCUUUUAGGUGUCCUGGCGGGCACUUCCCAUUUGUGUCCUUAUCUCCCAGCCUCCAGCUGUCUUCAAAGGCUUCCCAGCUACUGUGUCCUGCAAGUUCAAAACCCUGCAGCCCUCUGGGACUGGAGAUGUGUGAAGGAGCACAAGGAUUGGAGUUGAAUGACAGUGUAAGUAUCAGUUGUCACUGCAAGGAAUGUUUCCUUCAUUUCCAGAAGGAGUUAAUGGAGAAAGAACCUGUUUUAAUAUAAAUGAAAGCUGCGUUUCCACGGUGACUUUCUCAAAUUUAGAAGAUCUUGUCCUUUAAAUCCAGUUUGCCAUGGGACAUAAAGUUCAUUUGCUAUAGACCACAUCAAACCAGCUGAGCCCAGAGAAGAAUAUGGUGAGGUGCCAGGAAAACAAAAAAAAGAAAAAAAACCUCUGUAGAAAACAGACUUUUGUGGGACUAAAAAGUGGGAGAUUAUUCUUACUGGAAAUUUGUCACCCCACUCCAGAAAUGGAGUUGUCUGAUAAAUAAAUUCUCUGCAAAGACUGAAGAAAACA